ACAUGUGGUCAGGCCUUUAGAUGGGCCAUCGGAGCGCGUGGCGGGACCGGAGCGCGUGCCGCCCGAACGGGUGGAGCCGAACGGCAGCCACGCGCUCCGAUGUUUCAUUUAACAGUGGACCGCUCUGUAAAUCAGCGUAUCUGGAAUGACGCGUGUUCUGCCCUGCAAGCGAAAGUAAAUUUCCACGUCUGGAAACGCUGCUCGGACCUAAAGCGAGAAUAGCAUCCCGUUGAAUACAGCCCGAUGUCUUUGAUACAGUUGCAGCCACGUUUCAACAACCAGCACUCGCUUAUGAGGACACGAAUGUUGAUGAGACCUUUCAAAUGUGCUCGUUUGAAUAACGUUGGCAACGAUUUCUUUCCUACCUGCACGCGCGGAAUGCAUUCCGUCUUUAACAUCACAUUGGCAUGACUGAUUUGGCUAUUGCACUCUCAAGUCUAUAGAGCAAUCGAAAAUUUAACAACAGUGUUUCAGUAUAAAGCUAUGGAAUGUUUUAUCCUAUAACAUGUAUAUCUUAGUGCUCAAAAGCUCGGCAUAACACAUUUAGAAUGGUUAUUACAAGCGGAAUGUGCAACGAAUCCACUUACGGCGUACGAGAUUUCGAACAUCAGCUCAUCGCCUGGAAUGAAAAUUAUCAUAUGCCACAGAAGUAUCUGAGUAGGAAUGUAUGCGUGUAAAUAAUGAAAAUCGCCGAGCAUGAACUGCGUGAAUAAACCUCCGGGGCGAAAGAUGAAGCGAAAUAAAAAUAAAAAUAAAUAACGUAGCUUCUACAUCAGUGAGAAGUCAGGACAAGUGAGGUUACCAUUCACCGCACUACCUAGUAAUCGGACGUCUGUGCUACGAGAAACACCUGUCGAAAAAACAAGUAUACAAACGCUCCACUAGAAACAACACUGCACAAAUGUAGACGUCGCGAUAAGUACCAAAAGAUGCGUAAGGACAUGCAAACCGCAGCGAUAAUAAAGAGAUCACUUCGCGAACACACACGGCUGUAACUGUGUAACAUAAAUGCGCUGUAUGCGGUAAACGCGAGAGCAAAAAGUCACUUGCGUUCGUACAGUUGUUUCACUUAGGUAGUUGCACCCUUAGGACUUGAAAGUGACGUCACUGUAGCAUUCAUACUUGUUAGAUACUUGUUAGGACUGGACGUCUCCCCUGUUAACUUUGCCUUGGCAGCCUUGUGUUGUUUGAACAUUAUUAGCUUUCGCAAGCCCCAAACGUUGAAGUUAUAGUCACUGAAAUGACGUAACACUUCUUCAAAGUAAGUAAAAGCGCCAUCUGCUUCGGCUAUCAGAGACGCCACUUCCGCCAAUAUUGGGCGGUUAAUAUGUCAAGGACAUUUUAACAAAAAUGCGAUCGCUGAGCUCCAAUCGGGGCAAUCUAAAAGAAGCAAUUGCUCUUUCCUGUCGUAGAGUUCCAGUGUAACGCAGAAUUCGUUGUUCUUUUGCGGGUGUUGCAUUCGGUGCAACCAAUUCGUUGCCGGCGCAAGCCAAAGUAGGUAAGCCCACCCCUGAAGCGGGUGAAGAUUGAGGAUUGACGCCCAGCCCUACUGAAGGACAAUCACGGGACACCACCAUCGGAAAACUGUAUAUCCUGUCCAUCGCGAUAGGCGCGUUUCAACACACAGACACAUAGAUUAGCGAGAGAGAGUGAGAGAAAGUGGGAGAACAGAGGAAUACCAGUCGUAUUGCUCGGAUUUGUAGCUGUAGUGUGCAUAGAAAAUUGUUCACUCUUGCUUUAGGUUCCUCCUGUCAGCCGUUUAACCAUGAUUCGCAACUGCGGUUUAUCUUUAGCAGCAAUAUCUUGUGUUAAAACUUCGUGCCUGAGACUUAAAUUGUGCACGCAACUUAUUUCGCAUCGCAAAUGGGUCACUAUAGGUAACCGUGUUUACCUUUGUCCGUAGGAACGGAUGUUAGGUUGUUUGCAGAAGCCUGAAAGAAUAUGCGUACAUGCAUUACUUGUGCAGUGUCUGUUGCUUGUUGCUAGGUUUAAAUCUCGUGGCCGUUUUAAUGCGUAUGGGGCCACGGUGGUGGUGCGAUUAAGGACUCAAGUGCGAGGCCGUGAAAGAAAUAGACAUUUUGUGUUCAGUUUAGUGUUCCACGCUAAACAGGUCUGAAAUAAUGCCAUCUAAUAAGCGAAUUGGGCCACUAUAACCAGCCGUGCCUUUUGAAAUAUUCAGCGACAAUUCAGUGAAUUUGGUUGCACUUCUAGUCUUAGGCGGUCCGUUCCACUGGACCAUAUUGUUUUACAUUCUGGUAACGGUAGGACGUGAGACCAAGUUGCUAUAGUGCAUCUUACAUUUUUCCCUAGCUGUCGAAUGUACGACAAUUAAUCUGAUUGGCUGAGGCAGAUCGAGCGCUCUCCUUACUGGUUAAAACUAACGAAAAGUAGAAACAUGGAAGAAUUUGAUUGCGUCCGUAGUUAUCAAACCUAAAAGCGGUAUACUUAGCACGUUCAACAUGCAUGGUACACUAAUGACGUAGGUGGCUUUAACGAGAGCACUGCAGCGACUCACCCCAUUAGAAGCGCCGUAAGAGUAUUUAACGAGUUAGCACCUUUGAAUUCAUAGUUGCCGUUCGGGACGCGACCACUUAACAGCCGCGGCUACGCAUCGCUAUCAACACUAGCACCCCCUAUGUCAUUCUCUUUGCUCAAUGACUGCAACAGCAUACGAUAUUCCAAACAGACAGCUCACACACUAACAUUUUGCGUUGUAAAUACCUUUACAGCUUUCGUGUAACGCAUUAAAGUGCGUAUUGUGCAAAACCUAUCGCCAAAUAAUGCUUGUCGCCCCUACCUUGCAGAUAGAGCAGUAACUCUCUCGUGUAACUUACUAAUUAAGUGUAUAACAAAGUACGAAGUUACACAAAAGUGAUGCAACUGACACUCUAAAAAUGUUCGCUAUUUUCUUUGUUUUUGUUCAGCCACCAAGAUGGCUGAUGUUCGAUGUUAUGUUCCCGAUGCGCUGUGAGAAGGGUAGAAAAUGCAAAAUGGGCACUAAAACAAGAAAACCGAGAAAACCGAAAAAAAGGCAUGCAAAAACAAAGCGAACGAAACAAAGGAAAAACCAUUAGUCAGUUUAAAACAUGGGACACACUUUUAAUAUCUUUUCUCUUUUUACUUGUUUGACAGACAGUACUUGAACAUUGAAAGCGGAAUGACUGACAGUAUUGUAUCUUUGCUCGAGACAAAGCAGUACAUUUUGGUUGAGAAAUGGUUCCAUGCUUCAAACGGGUGCCUGCAGGAAAUCAGGGUCAAAAACUGAAGCAAACGCAAGGCAAAAUGCAAAUGAACCAAUCAAAAAAACAAACCCAAACCAAGGAUUUAACAAAAGAUGCAUUCUCAUCUGCAAUGCACGUCAGUCCGUGACAGCAAAACAAAGCAGCCGGGAUAAUGUGCAACUGAAGCAAAUGGUGAAACAAAGCAAUGUUUCCUCGAUCAAACGUUGCGAGAAAAAAAAAA
rnacentral:lncRNA from 1 species